rnacentral:rRNA from 1 species
AGAGGUGGCAAGCGUUGUUCGGAAUUACUGGGCGUAAAGGGCGCGUAGGCGGUCCCGUAAGUUCCGCGUGAAAUCCCCCGGCUCAACCGGGGAAUGGCGCGGAAGACUGCAGGGCUUGAGUUCGGGAGAGGGAAGCGGAAUUCCGGGUGUAGCGGUGAAAUGCGUAGAUAUCCGGAGGAACACCGGUGGCGAAGGCGGCUUCCUGGACCGACACUGACGCUGAGGCGCGAAAGCUAGGGGAGCAAACGGGAUUAGAUACCCCGGUAGUCCUAGCUGUAAACGAUGAGUGCUGGGUGUAGGGGGUAUCAACCCCCCCUGUGCCGAAGCUAACGCAUUAAGCACUCCGCCUGGGGAGCACGGUCGCAAGGCUG